UUUUCGCACUCUGGAGAGCGGCAGUAGCCGUCUGCGUCGUGUAUGCGCCGUAUACAUCGAGCAGAUUCUGGCAAGCUGCCCACCGAAGGGGCGCGCGCUUAACCGUAGCGAUGGUGGCUUCAACAUCGUACGGCAGCGCAAUCUCUCAGGUAUCGAGGACAGAGGGGUCAUG
rnacentral:ncRNA from 2 species